AUUGAACGCUGGCGGCAUGCCUUACACAUGCAAGUCGAACGGUAACAGGUCUUCCGAUGCUGACGAGUGGCGAACGGGUGAGUAAUACAUCGGAACGUGCCUAGUAGUGGGGGAUAACUACUCGAAAGAGUGGCUAAUACCGCAUGAGAUCUACGGAUGAAAGCAGGGGAUCGCAAGACCUUGUGCUACUAGAGCGGCCGAUGGCAGAUUAGGUAGUUGGUGGGAUAAAGGCUUACCAAGCCGACGAUCUGUAGCUGGUCUGAGAGGACGAUCAGCCACACUGGGACUGAGACACGGCCCAGACUCCUACGGGAGGCAGCAGUGGGGAAUUUUGGACAAUGGGCGCAAGCCUGGUCCAGCAAUGCCGCGUGCAGGAUGAAGGCCUUCGGGUUGUAAACUGCUUUUGUACGGAACGAAAAGCCCUGGGUUAAUACCCUGGGGUCAUGACGGUACCGUAAGAAUAAGCACCGGCUAACUACGUGCCAGCAGCCGCAGUAA
rnacentral:rRNA from 1 species